rnacentral:rRNA from 1 species
AGUGAACGCUGGCGGUAGGCCUAACACAUGCCAGUCGAACGGCAGCACAGUAAGAGCUUGCUCUUACGGGUGGCGAGUGGCGGACGGGUGAGGAAUACAUCGGAAUCUACUUUUUCGUGGGGGAUAACGUAGGGAAACUUACGCUAAUACCGCAUACGACCUACGGGUGAAAGCAGGGGAUCUUCGGACCUUGCGCGAUUGAAUGAGCCGAUCUCGGAUUAGCUAGUUGGCGGGGUAAAGGCCCACCAAGGCGACGAUCCGUAGCUGGUCUGAGAGGAUGAUCAGCCACACUGGAACUGAGACACGGUCCAGACUCCUACGGGAGGCAGCAGUGGGGAAUAUUGGACAAUGGGCGCAAGCCUGAUCCAGCCAUACCGCGUGGGUGAAGAAGGCCUUCGGGUUGUAAAGCCCUUUUGUUGGGAAAGAAAAGCAGCAGGUUAAUACCCCGCUGUUCUGACGGUACCCAAAGAAUAAGCACCGGCUAACUUCGUG